GUAGGCCUUCUAUAUGGGGCCUGCCAGAGAUUAAACUCAACCAAAUUUUAUUUAAUGUCAACCGAUUAUUUAAUAGUCAAAACUUUCAACAACGGAUCUCUUGGUUCUCGCAUCGAUGAAGAACGCAGCGAAAUGCGAUAAGUAAUAUGAAUUGCAGAUAUUCGUGAAUCAUCGAAUCUUUGAACGCACAUUGCGCCCUUUGGUAUUCCAAAGGGCAUGCCUGUUUGAGCGUCAUUUCUCCCUCAAACCCUCGGGUUUGGUGUUGAGCGAUACGCUGGGUUUGCUUGAAAGAAAGGCGGAGUAUAAACUAAUGGAUAGGUUUUUUCCACUCAUUGGUACAAACUCCAAAACUUCUUCCAAAUUCGACCUCAAAUCAGGUAGGACUACCCGCUGAACUUAAGCAUAUCAAUA
rnacentral:rRNA from 1 species